CUUGUAACCAUAAGAGGUCCAGCCUGCCCAGUGAUUUUAUUUAACGGCCGCGGUAUUCUAACCGUGCGAAGGUAGCGCAAUCACUUGUUUUCUAAAUAAAGACCAGUAUGAAAGGCAUCACGAGAACUUAACUGUCUCCUUUCUCCAAUCAGUGAACCUAAUCUCCCCGUGAAGAAGCGGGGAUCCCCCUAUAAGACGAGAAGACCCUGUGGAGCUUAAAAUAUAGUAUCAACUACUGCCCCAAUUACCCUCCCCACUUCCCCAGCGGCACCCUGAUCACAUAUUUUUGGUUGGGGUGACCGCGGAGAAAAACUUACCCUCCGUGAUGAAAAAGAAUUCCCUUAAACAACAAGUUACAACUUUAUGUAUCAAAAAAUUGACAUUCAUUGACCCAAUAAAUUGAUUAACGAAC
rnacentral:rRNA from 1 species